rnacentral:rRNA from 1 species
AGUAUUUUGACUAUACAAAGGUAUUGAAAUAAGACUUUAAUUGAGUGCUAAGAGAAUGGAAUUUCAUAAAAUUUCUUUUUUAAUUUUAAAAAUUGAAAUUAAUUUUAUAUGUGAAGAAACAAUAAUAAAAAUUAAGGACAAGAAGACCCUAAGAAUUUUAAAAAUUUCAAUAAAAUACAGCAUUUUAUUGAAAUUUUUUAAUUGGGGCGAUUAUUAAAUAUUAAAAACUUUAAUUUUUUAAAAAAGAACCAAUAAUAUUGGUUAUUUGAAAAAAUACUCUAGGGAUAACAGCGUAAUAAUUUUUGAUAGUUCUUAUAGACAAAAUAGUUUGCGACCUCGAUGUUGGAUUAGGAUUCUUUUUUAAUGAAGAAGUUAAAAAAAGAAGUUUGUUCAACUUUUAAAAUCCU